rnacentral:misc_RNA from 1 species
GAUGAAGAACGCAGCGAAAUGCGAUAAGUAAUGUGAAUUGCAGAAUUCAGUGAAUCAUCGAAUCUUUGAACGCAUCUUGCGCUCCUUGGUAUUCUGAGGAGCAUGCCUGUUUGAGUGUCAUUAAAUUCUCAACUACACUGACUUUGAAUUGGUGUGGCUUGGAUUUGGGGGGAAAAUUGUUGUGGGCUUUUUGUAUAGUCUGCUCCCCUGAAAUUGAUUAGCGGUACCUUUGUGGAACUGUCUACAGGUGUGAUAAUUAUCUACAUCUUAGACAUCUGCUGGAAUGCUGCUUUCUAAACCUUACUUGUAUUGACAAUCUUGACCUCAAAUCAGGUAAGAGUACCCGCUGAACUUAAGCAUAUCAAUAAGCGGAGGA